GCGAGUGAAGCGGCAAAAGCUCAAAUUUGAAACCCUCGGGAUUGUAAUUUGAAGAUUUGGCAUUGGAGAAAGCUAACCCAAGUUGCUUGGAAUAGUACGUCAUAGAGGGUGACAACCCCGUCUGGCUAACCGUUCUCCAUGUAUUGCCUUAUCAAAGAGUCGAGUUGUUUGGGAAUGCAGCUCAAAGUGGGUGGUAAACUCCAUCUAAAGCUAAAUACUGGUGAGAGACCGAUAGCGAACAAGUACUGUGAAGGAAAGGUGAAAAGAACUUUGAAAAGAGAGUGAAAUAGUAUGUGAAAUUGUUGAUAGGGAAGGAAAUGAGUGGAGAGUGGCCGAGGUUUCAGCCGCCCCUCGUGGGCGGUGUACUGCCGACGCCGAGUCAUCGAUAGCGAGACGAGGGUUACAAAUGGGAGCGCCUUCGGGCGUUCUCCCCUAACCCUCCACACUGCCACCGACGACAUAAUCCACCCAUUUCACCCGUCUUGAAACACGGACCCAAACAA
rnacentral:rRNA from 1 species